UGCUUGUUGAGCACCUCCCUGCAUUUGAAUGUCCCAUUAAAACUCAGCUCCGCCGCAAUACUAACAUUAUGGAAUACAUUAUGAAUACCACCUGAGUGAUAUCAUGACUUCUUAUCGUACAAACAGAUAAUUAUGAGACAACUGUGUGUUUGUACAUCUCCACUUGAGAAGUUGGGUAUAUUAAGUUAUUUUUCUGCAUAUGUUUUAUUUGAAGUUUUUUAUUCAACAAAACAAAAGCCCUUUUACUCUGACCAAAAUGCACCCAAAUAGGCUGACAUCUGACUAUUAAUUGGGCUCGUGCAUGGCACUUAAUGUACAGUGACUUUUUAUUUAAACCUUUGUUCUUUAUUGUGCUCUAUUUUUGCAGAAUUAAAAUAAAACAUUUGAAUUACCAGAAAAUUUCUUCUAAUAUGGACAUUC